CAUGGGAACCUACCAUGCGCUGCUAAUAUAUUAGACCUACAGGAUAGUUUAAAUACAUGUUAGGUGGUGAUCUUUUGCAGGUAUGGCAUAUAUUUGUCCAAAGGUCAUAAUGUCAUAUGCAAUGCAGACAACUAAUGCUCACUGCUGUAAGAAUUGAACUCAGCCCAAUCUUCAUCUGUCAAGUGGGAUGUAAUGUUCUUGCUUUUCCAAUCAUAAAAGGGCAGUUUGAUCGGGAACUCCUCCAGCAGAACUCUCUGUCAUGGUGCUUACCUGUGCCCAGUCGGUCUUGGGAGAUGAGGGAAGAAAACUUCAUCUAUAUUUUUGGUAAACUUCAAAUAAACUCUGAGUAAUAACAUCUCCCAUGAAAUCUCAGAAAAAUGAAAAACAGAAUCAGUUUAGUGAUCUGUGUCUGAAUGAAGCCCUCUCCCAGAGCAAAUUAAAACACUGCACAGCUGCACCUGAAUCAAUAAGCACCAACUCAGGCA
rnacentral:lncRNA from 1 species